rnacentral:lncRNA from 1 species
AGGGAAUGGUUCACCCAGCAUGUGGACCCGAGGGUAGAACGCUUAUCCUGGGAGCAGUUUGCUUCAGAGUUUACAGGAUGGGUUUGUCCAGAGAGUCCAAGGGAGCAUAAGGAGAGUGAAUUUGCGCAGCCUAAGCAGACAGAAAACAUGAGUGUAGAAACUUACCCAGAGACUAGUGAUCGUUUUCCUUUGGGUGAAGCUGCUGCAAAGAAUAAAAAGAAAGUGAGAGGCCUGAAAGGGUCAAAGAAAAGAGAGUUCUGGAAUAGGGUACAGUUUGGCAUGGGUUUUCGCGAGGGUUCGAGUUCUGGUUGGGAUAGUUUUAGAUGUGUGAAGUGCGGUAGGAGGCACAAAGGCGUAUGUCGGGCUGGGACAACAGCAUGUUUCAGGUGCGGACAGGAGGG